rnacentral:rRNA from 1 species
AUGGAUCGUUUCCAUGAGCUCCGUAACGAUGCAAGCGUUGCUUUUUUUAAGGCUUCGAAAUCCGCAGCGCAAUCAGAGAGGGUGAUGGCAUUUCUCAACAGUAUUAUUGAUGAGGGUGAGAAUGACGAGAAUACUAACAUAGCAUCAUUUGGUCCUUUGCCGGCAUAUUUUUCUGGGGCACGCCAAACCUUCACAACUAAAGUUCUGGAUCCAAUACCAAUUAUUCCAAAAGGUGCUCCAUCGAAGGGCAGGUUGAAGCCAUUCCAGGAGACUAUGAAGAAAAAGAAGCCCAAACAUGACUGCGGGCAAAGUUGGACAGGCGUUAAUUAUGCUGAAGAGCCACACAUCAGUGGAAUCAGCUAUCUACUUGUCUAA